rnacentral:misc_RNA from 1 species
CACAAUAAACAUAUGAAGGCUGCACCGCCAACAGGCGGCAAGGCUGGAGUAUUUUAUUACCCAUGUCUUUUGCGUACUACUUGUUGUUUCCUUGGCGGGUUCGCCCGCUCCAUUGGACCACAUGAUAAACCUUUUUUAUGUAGUUGCAAUCAGCGUCAGUACAAACAAAUGUAAAUAAUUA